AGAGUUUGAKCMUGGCUCAGGACGAACGCUGGCGGCGUGCCUAACACAUGCAAGUCGUGCGGUCUCGCCUUAAGCGAAAGGCCUUUCGGGCUUUGAAGCAAAGGCGAGAUAGCGGCGGACGGGUGAGUAACGCGUGGCUUAUCUGUCCCAGGGAGGGGGAUAACGUCUGGAAACGGGCGCUAAUACCCCAUAUGCCGAAAGGUAAAAAGGAGARAUCCGCCCUGGGGUGAGGCCGCGUCCUAUCAGCUCGUUGGUGAGGUAACGGCCCACCAAGGCUAUGACGGGUAGCCGGCCUGAGAGGGCGGCUGGCCACACUGGGAUUGAGAUACGGCCCAGACUCCUACGGGAGGCAGCAGUGGGGAAUAUUGGGCAAUGGGSGRAASCCUGACCCAGCGACGCCGCGUGGRGGAAGRAGYCYUUCGGGRUGUAAACYCCUGUUGUAAGGGAAGAAGACAGUGACGGUACCKUACGAGGAAGCCCCGGCAAACUACGUGCCAGCAGCCGCGGUAACACGUAGGGGGCGAGCGUUGUCCGGAAUUACUGGGCGUAAAGCGCACGCAGGCGGACUGCGCRMGUCGGCUGUGAAAUGCACCGGCUCAACCGGUGCAUGUCGGUCGAUACUGGCGCAUCUGGAGUGCGGGAGAGGGAASYGGAAUUCCCGGUGUAGCGGUGAAAUGCGUAGAUAUCGGGAGGAACGCCCGGUGGCGAAGGCGGCUUCCUGGCCCGCAACUGACGCUCAUGUGCGAAAGCCAGGGGAGCGAACCGGAUUAGAUACCCGGGUAGUCCUGGCCGUAAACGAUGGACGCUAGGUGUGGGCGGUUUAUCCGUCUGUGCCGMAGYUAACGCGWUAAGCRUCCCGCCUGGGGAGUACGAUCGCAAGRUUGAAACUCAAAGGAAUUGACGG
rnacentral:rRNA from 1 species